rnacentral:rRNA from 1 species
AUUGAACGCUGGCGGUAUGCUUAACACAUGCAAGUCGAACGGCAGCACGGUAUGUAGCAAUACAUAUGGGUGGCAAGUGGCGGACGGGUGAGUAACGCGUAGGAAUCUGCCCUCAAGCGGGGGACAACCCGAGGAAACUCGGGCUAAUACCGCAUAAACUCGGAAGAGAAAAGCUGGGGUAACCUGGCACUUGAGGAGGAGCCUGCGUCUGAUUAGCUAGUUGGUAGGGUAAAGGCCUACCAAGGCGAUGAUCAGUAGCUGGUCUGAGAGGAUGACCAGCCACACUGGAACUGAGACACGGUCCAGACUCCUACGGGAGGCAGCAGUGGGGAAUAUUGGACAAUGGGGGAAACCCUGAUCCAGCAAUACCGCGUGUGCGAAGAAGGCCUUCGGGUUGUAAAGCACUUUAGUUGGGGAGGAAGGUUAGCAGUUUAAGAGAUGGCUAAUUUGACUGUACCCAAAGAAUAAGCACCGGCUAACUACGUGCCAGCCGCCGCAGUAA